UUGAUCAUGGCUCAGAAUCACGCUGGCGGCGUGCCUAACACGUGCAAGUCGAACGAGAACGUGGGGGCAACUCCACUAGUAAAGUGGCAGACGGGUGAGUAACACGUGAACAAUCUACCCUCGAGUGGGGAAUAACACCGCGAAAGCGGUGCUAAUACCGCAUAACAUCUCCGGGUCGCAUGGCCUGGAGAUCAAAAGCGAAAGUUGCUUGAGGAGGAGUUCGCGCCUGAUUAGCUAGUUGGUGAGGUAACGGCUCACCAAGGCAACGAUCAGUAGCCGGCCUGAGAGGGCGAACGGCACACUGGAACUGAGACACGGUCCAAGACUCCUACGGGAGGCAGCAGUGGGGAAUUUUGCGCAAUGGGCGAAAGCCUGACGCAACAACGCCGCGUGGAGGAUGAAGGCCCUCGGGUCGUAAACUCCUGUCAGUGGGGACGAAUGCCUCGCAAGAGGUUUGACUGUACCCGCUGAGGAAGCCACGGUAACUCCGUGCCAGCAGCCGCGGUAAUACGGAGGUGGCAAGCGUUGUUCGGAAUUACUGGGCGUACAGGGCGCGUAUGCGGCUUGGCAGUCAGAUGUGAAAGCCCCGGGCUUA
rnacentral:rRNA from 1 species